AGUGAACGCUGGCGGUAGGCCUAACACAUGCAAGUCGAACGGCAGCACAGUAAGAGCUUGCUCUUACGGGUGGCGAGUGGCGGACGGGUGAGGAAUACAUCGGAAUCUACUUUUUCGUGGGGGAUAACGUAGGGAAACUUACGCUAAUACCGCAUACGACCUACGGGUGAAAGCAGGGGAUCUUCGGACCUUGCGCGAUUGAAUGAGCCGAUGUCGGAUUAGCUAGUUGGCGGGGUAAAGGCCCACCAAGGCGACGAUCCGUAGCUGGUCUGAGAGGAUGAUAAGCCACACGGGAACUGAGACACGGUCCAGACUCCUACGGGAGGCAGCAGUGGGGAAUAUUGGACAAUGGGCGCAAGCCUGAUCCAGCCAUACCGCGUGGGUGAAGAAGGCCUUCGGGUUGUAAAGCCCUUUUGUUGGGAAAGAAAAGCAGCAGGUUAAUACCCCGCUGUUCUGACGGUACCCAAAGAAUAAGCACCGGCUAACUUCGUG
rnacentral:rRNA from 1 species